rnacentral:lncRNA from 1 species
AAAUGAUAAACACACAAAGUAUAUAAAAUCUAAAAAGCCCAAUAACUAGUCAGGAGUAAGUCAAUUUGAGUUCUUUUUAUUAAAUAUUCCUUUAGCGAGUUGUAAGAUAAUUUUUAUUUUGGAAUUUCACAACACACAUGGCCUGCACUACUAAGGAUUAGGUUCAACAUUAUGUUGCUAAGUCUAGUAGCAACCUUGAGUCCUGAUGAAUCAUUCCUAUCUAAUUCGCUAUUAUUAAAAAAAAGAAACAAAAAAGAAAAAAAGAAGCGAAUUUAAU